rnacentral:snoRNA from 1 species
AAUAAGUGAUGAAAAAAGUUUCGGUCCCAGAUGAUGGCCCAGUGAUAACUUACAUUUUUCUGAUGUU